GAAUUCGCAAUAUUGAUGCAAAUAUUGAUAGAUAUUUUAGACUGUCAGAUUUUUUUUUUAUAAAUAUUUGCAAUCUAAUGGUAUUGACAGGAAUAGAAAAGGAAAUCUUCAAACAAGUAAUAUAUAUUUUUAAUAUGCCAUUUAUAGUAACUGGCUUAAUAAUUUCCAGAAAGAGGCCUUGGAAAUGCACUUUCUCAACAACAAAAAAUUUUUAAAAAAUAAUAACUAUUUUUUAUCUAAAUUGGUGUUCAUUCUUCACUAAGAAAAAAUACAUUUCCUGUAUUCAAAUUUAAAUGUACAAAUACCUAAUGCUGAGAUAUUUCCAAUUACUGUCAAAUAGCAAUAUAAUGGGAUAUAAAUGUAGAACAAACAAAUAAAUUUUAUUGCAGAAAAUGCUCAGGUAAGAGUUAAGCAAUUUUGUUUAUUGUUUCAACCAAAUUUCUGAUAAUUGUAACUAAUUAAUUAGAUCUUGAUUAUUGACUUAUGUCCGAUGAUAAUGACACUGAUUUUACAAGUGAAAUAAAAUUUGCUUGCAUUUUUUAUACAUAU